CCUCCCUGGGCUGUCACACGCGGCGAGGCAGCCGGGCUCCGACCCAAGCCAGCUCCGCUGGCCAACCGACCGCUCUGGACGGAGGUUGAGGGGGCUCACUGAGGAAAAGGCAGCUACUAACCCAGCAUGCCAAAGAGCUGGAUGAGGGGUCAGCAUUAGAAGAAAAUGUCAAGAUCCAGUAGUGAAAAACAGGCAGAUACACAACCCACAAAGCAUUUCCUGCCAUGACUCCCAAGACAACCUGACCUUUGGGUACAUUCCAGAGUGGAGCUUCCUCUAGAUGAACUGGAACACCGCUCCCACGGACCUCCCAGUGAAGAAAACACACUGUGCCAAAAGUGUAUAUUUAAAUUUUGGGCACCAGAGCAAAAACUUACACAUAAGAUUCCUUUACUUUCGCUAAAUGCAAAAUAAAAAUAAACAUCUCAGAAGAAAA